UACGUAGGGUGCAAGCGUUGUCCGGAAUUAUUGGGCGUAAAGAGCUCGUAGGCGGUUUGUCGCGUCGAAUGUGAAAAUCCGGGGCUCAACCCCGGACUUGCAGUGGGUACGGGCAGACUAGAGUGUGGUAGGGGAGACUGGAAUUCCUGGUGUAGCGGUGGAAUGCGCAGAUAUCGGGAGGAACACCGAUGGCGAAGGCAGGUCUCUGGGCCACUACUGACGCUGAGAAGCGAAAGCAUGGGGAGCGAACAGG
rnacentral:rRNA from 1 species